rnacentral:rRNA from 1 species
UUUCUGCCACCGAAUACAUUAGCAUGGGAUAAUGGAAUAGGACCCUGUCCUCCUAUUUUCAGUUGGUUUUGGCAGCGCGAGGACUAGGGUAAUGAUUAAUAGGGAUAGUUGGGGGCAUUAAUAUUUAAUUGUCAGAGGUGAAAUUCUUGGAUUUAUGAAAGAUUAACUUCUGCGAAAGCAUCUGCCAAGGAUGUUUUCAUUAAUCAAGAACGAAAGUUAGGGGAUCGAAGACGAUCAGAUACCGUCGUAGUCUUAACCAUAAACGAUGCCGACCAGCGAUUAGGAGACGUUGAAUACAAAACACCACCAUCGGCGCGGUCGUCCUUGGCGUUCGUGUUCACGCACGAGCGCGAGGGCGGCUUAGCCCGAUGGCACCGGUGAAUGACUCCCCUAG